CACACGACUCUCGGCAACGGAUAUCUCGGCUCUCGCAUCGAUGAAGAACGUAGCGAAAUGCGAUACCUGGUGUGAAUUGCAGAAUCCCGCGAACCAUCGAGUCUUUGAACGCAAGUUGCGCCCGAGGCCACUCGGCCGAGGGCACGCCUGCCUGGGCGUCACGCC
rnacentral:rRNA from 2 species